rnacentral:rRNA from 1 species
AGAGUUUGAUCCUGGCUCAGAACGAACGCUGGCGGCGUGGAUAAGACAUGCAAGUCGAACGAGAGAAUUGCUAGCUUGCUAAUAAUUCUCUAGUGGCGCACGGGUGAGUAACACGUGAGUAACCUGCCCCCGAGAGCGGGAUAGCCCUGGGAAACUGGGAUUAAUACCGCAUAGUAUCGAAAGAUUAAAGCAGCAAUGCGCUUGGGGAUGGGCUCGCGGCCUAUUAGUUAGUUGGUGAGGUAACGGCUCACCAAGGCGAUGACGGGUAGCCGGUCUGAGAGGAUGUCCGGCCACACUGGAACUGAGACACGGUCCAGACACCUACGGGUGGCAGCAGUCGAGAAUCAUUCACAAUGGGGGAAACCCUGAUGGUGCGACGCCGCGUGGGGGAAUGAAGGUCUUCGGAUUGUAAACCCCUGUCAUGUGGGAGCAAAUUAAAAAGAUAGUACCACAAGAGGAAGAGACGGCUAACUCUGUGCCAGCAGCCGCGGUAAUACAGAGGUCUCAAGCGUUGUUCGGAAUCACUGGGCGUAAAGCGUGCGUAGGCUGUUUCGUAAGUCGUGUGUGAAAGGCGCGGGCUCAACCCGCGGACGGCACAUGAUACUGCGAGACUAGAGUAAUGGAGGGGGAACCGGAAUUCUCGGUGUAGCAGUGAAAUGCGUAGAUAUCGAGAGGAACACUCGUGGCGAAGGCGGGUUCCUGGACAUUAACUGACGCUGAGGCACGAAGGCCAGGGGAGCGAAAGGGAUUAGAUACCCCUGUAGUCCUGGCAGUAAACGGUGCACGCUUGGUGUGCGGGGAAUCGACCCCCUGCGUGCCGGAGCUAACGCGUUAAGCGUGCCGCCUGGGGAGUACGGUCGCAAGAUUAAAACUCAAAGAAAUUGACGGGGACCCGCACAAGCGGUGGAGUAUGUGGCUUAAUUCGAUGCAACGCGAAGAACCUUACCUGGGCUUGACAUGUAAUGAACAACAUGUGAAAGCAUGCGACUCUUCGGAGGCGUUACACAGGUGCUGCAUGGCCGUCGUCAGCUCGUGUCGUGAGAUGUUUGGUUAAGUCCAGCAACGAGCGCAACCCCUGUUGCCAGUUACCAGCACGUGAAGGUGGGGACUCUGGCGAGACUGCCCAGAUCAACUGGGAGGAAGGUGGGGACGACGUCAGGUCAGUAUGGCCCUUAUGCCCAGGGCUGCACACGUACUACAAUGCCCAGUACAGAGGGGGCCGAAGCCGCGAGGCGGAGGAAAUCCUAAAAGCUGGGCCCAGUUCGGACUGUAGGCUGCAACCCGCCUACACGAAGCCGGAAUCGCUAGUAAUGGCGCAUCAGCUACGGCGCCGUGAAUACGUUCCCGGGUCUUGUACUCACCGCCCGUCA